ACCAAAAGGAUACAAAUGUUGGUAAUGCGUCACCUUCUCCUGAAGACAAGGAUCUAAAACAAGGUUUGGUUGCUAAGCUCUUACUAGGCUCGUGCUUGCCAAGAACAAGCGAGCCACAAGUUGCAAUUGUUCCUCCAAUAUCGCAGCAAUGCACAGAUACUGCAUACAAACCAGAAUCUGAGAAAACAGAUAAUGAUUUACCAUUUAAAAUUACAAAUGUCUGUUCCCUGGCAGACACAAACUUUGAUUUGAAACCAGAAGCUAAUUUCAAGGCAAAUAUUCCAACAACUGUCACAAAAGAUCAAGGCGAGCCUGCACCAUCUUUUACAGUAGCUUACUCUAAUACUGGAACUUUAGAAGAUAUAAUAGAUGAAAUGUUUCCAGACUCUAUGUCCGAAGAUAUGAAAGUUCAAUCAAAUGGCAACGAAUGUGUAGUUUCUGAAACUGUUCCAGGGCUUGAUGAAGAUCUGGAGGUACCAAUAUGCACCAUUUCACAAGUAGUCUCCUAUUCACAAUUUCAAAAUAUAACUGCAGACAAUCCUGUAUCUAUAACUGAGGAUUUAGAAGCUCCAAUUUGCACAAUGUCACAAGUUGUCUCAGACGCCCAAUCUCCCAAUUCAGUUUCUGACAAUGUUCUUGUAUCUGUAACAAAAGAUCAAUCAGCUCCAGCUGACAAGAUUUCAGAAAAUGUUCCAGUAUCUGCUACAAAAAAAAACAACAAACAGAGUGACACUAGGGCCGUUGAAAUGCAUUCAAGCCUUUCCUCCUUGGAAUCGAAUGCAAAAAUUGAUGCUUUUGAUUUGUCUACUGUACCAGUAAAUUCAUGGUCUCUCAAACAGUUAAGAGUUUUAAUUGAAACGUUAUACAAAUCUGAAGAUCCUCUUCAAUCACAGAUGUGUGUUGUGGAAACUAUAAUAAAUCUGUACUGGGGUGGAGAAAGUAAAGCCUUUUAUAAAGACUUCAAAAAUGCAAACAAUGCUAUGGUUUCCAUGUAUACAUUUUGGCAUUAUUCCAAUACCAGCCAGCAGGAGGAGGACAAGGCCAACUGUUCAACUGUACGAACAGAUGCAUCAGAACAUUUGUUUUAUGAAGUAAAGCCAGAGUGGUUCGAGAAAAUAGCGGAUCAAUGUCGGGUUAUGGAACCUGGGGCUUCUGAAUCAGUUGAUCUGGUUUAUAAGUCAUCUUGGUUAAAUCUUAAUGAGCACCUUGAUGAUAUAGAUGAAGAAUGUGGAAACCUAUUGUCCCUGAACUUAAGAGACUGUAUUGGUGAAGAAGUGAAACCUCAGAAGACUGAUGCAGAACCAGACCUUCAUGCAAGUGAGACUGAGUUGGUUAAUAGCGAGGAACAGGAGGACCCUUUAGAUCUGUAUUCAACACAGGAAAAUAUUGAAACAUCUUCUGUAGCUGAUCACACUGACACUGCAAAACUUCAAAAGACACAUGCAGAGCCAGACUUUCAUGCAGACAAGGGUCAAGAUUUGUCAGUUAAUAGUGAGGAACAAGAGAAUCAUCUAGAUCUACCUUCAUCACAAGAACAUAAUGGAACAUCUUCUACUGUAAUUGAUCUCACCGACACUGCAGUUGAUCUCAGUGACCCUGUCGACCCAAUAUUUAAUGCACAGAUAAAAGUAUUGGAACCUCAGGAUGCAAGGACAUUUUUUAAUGAAGUCUGCAAAACAAAUGGCAAUCAAGGGGAGAUGGUUAGUACCACUACUGUGUUAAAAACAAUGGCGUAUGAAACUACUUCUGAUGAAACUUACUGCUGUCUUUCCUGUUGGAUAGGUAAAAUGAAUGGCUGUGAGUCUAAGUGCACAUGCAGAAAAAAGGUUAAAUUAAACCAGACUCCCAAAAAUAGAGAGAUUGUCUACAUAAACCUGGAACUAGACGAUAAAUCCCCCAAACGACCUGUAGAAAAUGUUCCAAUACGAUCUUCAUCUGAAGACUCCUCUCCAGAAAAAGGGAUACCAAAUGAUUUGACAGUCAAGCUGCCUGGCUCCACACCAGAUAUAGGAGAAGAGUCCAGGAAUCCCAGUAAUUUAGGUGCUGUGAAGAAUACAAAUGAAAAAGGCAAGGUAUUGGUUUCUUCAGAAACUGACAAUUCUACAGAUGAUUCCACAGAUUACAGCAAUGAGAAACCCUUAAAGCAUUCAAAGACAGGAAGCCAGAGUCUUCACAAAAGGCUAGCUCAGUUGGAGCUCCCGUGGAAGAAAAAGAGACCUGGUGACUUGAGUGAGAACAGCUGUGCACUGAAGAGACUAAAGCAUCAUGAUGCUGAUCAAGAGGCCAGUAAGUCUUCUGAAAUGAGUAAGGAGCAUGAAGGAAACAGUAAGCAUUACAUGAAGUCAGACAUGGCUCCAGUGAAGACUACAGGGGGGCUUCAACACAGGGUUGAUGUUUCUGAACAACAGAAAGGUGAACCAAGUCAUGAAAGAAAACGUAGGAGAGAAGAAGAAAAUCUGAAAUGUGGAAAAUCAAAGAGUGCUAAAAUGGAACAUGGAAACCGUCUAAAUGUAAAAGCUGACAAUUCCAAAGAUUACGUGGUAUCCAAAACAAAGACAGCUGAACAAGCUGUGACUAUAAAUGACAGUACAGUGAACCUGGUGAACCUGGUAUUGUUUGGUUCCAAAAACAAACAAGGGUCUGAACAGCCAAGUAGGUCCGUUCAAGGUGCAGUUCUGGGUCCUAAAAUUCCAAGACCCUUUAGUAACCGAAUGCGACCCCCUAAAUUGAUCAGUUUAAAACUUCCUUUGCAAAGGAUUGAAGGUGAAAAAAAAAAAUCUGCAAAGUAUGUUGAGAAUGAAAGUGGCUACAAGGAGCAUUCAAAAAAGAGAAAGAAGAAAAGGCACCAUGAAAUGAAGCAUGAUUCUAAAAACCUGGAUGGAAAAUAUAAAUGGAAACCAGGCAGUUCUGGGCACCACAGAGUGAAAAAAGAUGGUCAUUUUGAUAAGUCCUUGGUGCAUUCCAGAAUCUCUUCCCUUAAGGUAAAAUGGAUUCCAAGCAAGCAUAACUCCAGUGAGCAAUCUUCACACACAAAUGUGGAAAACGCAAGCGUGAGACCCAAUACAUCGGUUUACAGGGCAGUUCAUUAUGUAUAUAAGGAAAAUCCUUCAAAAGGCAGCAUCUCAAAAGAGAUUCCCAAAACUGAUUCUAGAAAAACCCAAAUCUCCAAUUAUGAAGCCAAUAAAAUGGCGUUUAGAAAACUUAAGUUCAAGGAUGGUGAGCGAGCUAAGAGGUCAGGACAGCUUAAUCAAAGGAAACUGCCACCCAGAAGUUUAAUUAGGAAACCAAAGCGGCCCCCCAGUCUUCUAGAUGUUAAAGAGCAGGGUAAAUCGGAGAGCAAGAGCCCCUCCACUGGAAAAGAUCUGCCUUCUGAUGCUCCAGCCUUGAAAGAAAAGAAAAUAUUGGAGUUCAAGCUUUGGCCUGAAACCUUGUCUGAUUUGUUCAACUUUAAAGACAAUGCAGAUUUAAAAAAGGAAAGGAGUGCUGUGGGAGCUGUUGAUCAAAAGUGCUGAUUCUCCACUCGCGCUCCCGCCUCCCAUGCCACAGACCUCGCCAGCCGCCACUGAAGAGCACAUAACGAGAUCAAACAGCUGAGUUUGCCCGAAAUAUACGGUGUGCUUAACACGAGACGGGAAGCUCAAAAGCAACUUCAAUGUUGAAACGCAGCCCAAAGACACUGCCCUGGAAAGUCAAAGGUUACUGGAUACAGAACAAUGAUAUUGGCACUCCUGUAGAAGACCAAACUCCCUCUAAAUCUCCUGCUAGCUCUGACCUUGGUAAAACACCUGCCAACUGUACUUUUCUAGAGUACAAAAAAAAAUAUAUGGAAAAGGAAAACAAGGAUCAUGUAGCUUGAUGUAUCCGAUUGAUCUUACAUGUGCAGUGUUCUGAGCACUGGAAAUAAACUAAUUGACUGAUGCCAAAUGCAUUUUCUACAGAUUAACUGGGGAUUAUGUUGCUCGUGUGUUAAGUAUCUGAAACCUGAAGGUCUGCAAGAACUAUAUAUGUAUUCAUGUAUACUGUGUAUAUCUAAAUGAGUGCAAGGUGUUCGGGACCUUUUUUGAAGUGUUGCUUUGUGGUCUUGCUGAUUUAUUUUUUUUUUUUUUUUUUUCCAGCUGGAAAUGUAUAAAUCAGUUUAUAAUGUUACAAAAUGUAAAGAUUAGUGUUUGCUUUCUAGUAAACAUUUAUUAUUUUUUUAUGAUUUUCAAUGGAAUAGUAUUAGCUAGGAACCAGUCCGAGAAGUGUUUACUUGGCCUUAUUGUUUGUUUUGACUUUGAUUUUUAUUUGUCUUGUUUAAUUGUUUUUUUUUUUUUCAACAAAAUGCAUAUAAUUGUGUGCAACAUUGCAAAUCUUUUUUGUGACCAAUACUUUGUUAAAUUCAUUUUUUUGUUUUUUUUGUUUAUUUUUACAG